rnacentral:rRNA from 1 species
UACGGGGGGGCAAGCGUUGUUCGGAAUUACUGGGCGUAAAGGGCGCGUAGGCGGCUUGGCAAGUGGAUGGUGAAAUCCCUCGGCUUAACCGAGGAACUGCCGUCCAAACUGCUUCGCUUGAGACCGGGAGAGGUGAGUGGAAUUCCCAGUGUAGCGGUGAAAUGCGUAGAUAUUGGGAGGAACACCAGUGGCGAAGGCGGCUCACUGGACCGGUACUGACGCUGAUGCGCGAAAGCGUGGGGAGCAACGGG